rnacentral:tRNA from 1 species
GGCGCGUUCGUCUAGUGGCUUAGGACGCCGCCCUCUCAAGGCGGAGAUCACGGGUUCGAACCCCGUACGCGCUACUA